rnacentral:misc_RNA from 1 species
UAAUUAUAUUAUUAUAAAAAAUAAAGCAUUAAAAAAAAUUUUGUCAAGUCUUUUUAAAUUAAAUGAUUUUUUUUUGUGCAUUGAGUAGGGUAUUCUCCUAUCCUCAUUUUACGAUUGACGGAAUACCAUUCCCCUUCAGGUGCUAGACAUGCAAAGUCAGGCUCACCUUAGGUUGUUGACUUCAUGGAUCGGACAUUUAAUUAAUUUAUGUAGUGUAGUACACGUUCAUCACUACAUCAGAUCCAGUUAGGUUAAAAUCAUUUUAUUGUCGUAAUCCAGCUCUAUUGGUCAGAAAGACACCAGAUUUAGUUUAAUAUAAAGGUCUUGAAACUUGUAGUAAGCUUUAUUGCUAUCAAACCCGAGCUCAAGGCUCAUCGUAUGAAUAAAAUAUUAUUAAAUAUUAUAAAAUAUUAUAAAACAAAUUGUGGAGUCUAACUCAACUCUAA